UACGUAUGGAGCAAGCGUUAUCCGGAAUUACUGGGUGUAAAGGGAGCGUAGGCGGCAAGGCAAGUCUGAUGUGAAAACCCAGGGCCCAACCCUGGGACUGCAUUGGAAACUGUAUUGCUUGAGUACCGGAGAGGCAGGCGGAAUUCCUAGUGUAGCGGUGAAAUGCGUAGAUAUUAGGAGGAACACCAGUGGCGAAGGCGGCCUGCUGGACGGUAACUGACGCUGAGGCUCGAAAGCGUGGGGAGCAAACAGG
rnacentral:rRNA from 1 species